rnacentral:lncRNA from 1 species
CGGCUUAAGCGAACCUCGAAUUCAUUGAUCAUCAGAUUGUGGUGUUCUUCUACCCACGCAAGGUGAUGUGAUCAUUUUUGGUUUAUUGCAUAUUGAUCUAUUUUAUUUAAUACUUAAUAAAUCUAAUUUAGAUCUAUGCAUAGCACGCCAGGUCGAUAAAUUUUUUUUUAAAAUUUCACUACCUCUGAUCCGAUCCGGUGCGUCUACACAAUCCUUCAUAUACGUCCUUCAUAGAGCUUGGAUGCUUCAUCUCUAGUACUGUUCAAAUUUUCUCUAGAUUUAUCUAGAACUACAUUGUAUCAUGAUGAAUCCUAGAAACUUUUUGAGGACAUGCCAAAGGCGCACUUGUUAGGGAUGAUAUUCAUUUGAUGCCACCAUAGUUCACCGAAGACCUCCUCGAGGUUAGUGAUAUGUCAAUCCAUCUCAGCACUU